rnacentral:pre_miRNA from 1 species
CAAGUACUCCUCCGUCCGGAAUUACUUGUCAUCAAAAUGGAUGUGUCUAGAACUAAAAUACAUCUAGAUACAUCCAUUUCAAUGACAAGUAUUUUCGGACGGAUGGAGUACAAG